rnacentral:rRNA from 1 species
CACGGGGGUUGCGAGCGUUGUCCGGAAUUACUAGGCGUAAAGGGCAGGCAGGCGGAUCCAUAAGUUUAUCGUUUAAGGCGUCGGCUUAACCGGCGUAGGGCGGUAGAUACUGUGGAUCUGGAAUGCGGUUGGGGAAGACAGAAUUCCUGGUGUAGCGGUGGAAUGCGCAGAGAUCAGGAGGAAUACCGAAGGCGAAGGCAGUCUUCCAAGCCGUUAUUGACGCUCAACUGCGAAGGUGUUGGUAUCAAACAGGAUUAGAUACCCGCGUAGUCCCUGAG